GUUUGUCGGCUUAGACCUGGUGUCAUUCCAUCAGUGUUAAACUUCCCGGCUCAUCUUGGAAGAGUACGUGCCAGAAAGACCACGACCAAGCAGCCUUGAGAUCUUAGGCAGCGUCUCCCUGAGGUCCCUCUCUAUCUCCACACAUCCACCAACCACUGGAACACAUCUCCAAAGUUCUGCUGGACCAGCUCAGCUUCCCCUCAGAAGAAGUGCUGCCACCUGCCAGAUGAAGGAGCCUUUUGAGAGGCAGCUGGCAUCGUGAUUGGACUGUACUUUGGUCUGUUCCAAUCCAGCUUCAGCUCCAGAGACGGCAGGCGGGACGAGUCAACGGAGGCCGGGUGGACGAAGGCAUGCAGCUGAGUACAAUCCAGAAAACAACAGUGGAG
ensembl:lncRNA